rnacentral:sRNA from 1 species
ACUGGGUGUGGUGGUGCAUGCCUGUAAUUCCAGGGGCUCAAGAGGCUGAGGCAGGAGGAUCAUGUGUUCAAAGCCAGCCUCAGCAACUUAGUGAGGCCUUAGCAACUCAGUGAAAUCCUGUCUCUA